AGCAGCCGCGGUAAUUCCAGCUCCAAUAGCGUAUAUUAAAGUUGUUGCAGUUAAAAAGCUCGUAGUUGAAUUUCGGGAUCAGUAGGUUGGUCGUGCCACUGGUAUGUACUGGCCUCACUGGUUCCUCCCUCUUGUAGAACCGUAAUGCCAUUAAGUUGGUGUUGCGGGGAAACAGGACUGUUACUUUGAAAAAAUUAGAGUGUUUAAAGCAGGCUAACGCUUGAAUACAUUAGCAUGGAAUAAUGAAAUAGGACGAUCGAUCCUAUUUUGUUGGUUUCUAGGAUUGACGUAAUGAUUAAUAGGGAUAGUUGGGGGCAUUAGUAUUCAAUUGUCAGAGGUGAAAUUCUUGGAUUUAUUGAAGACUGACUACUGCGAAAGCAUUUGCCAAGGAUGUUUUCAUUAAUCAAGAACGAAAGUUAGGGGAUCGAAGACGAUCAGAUACCGUCGUAGUCUUAACCAUAAACUAUGCCGACUAGGGAUCGGAUGAUGUUAAUUUUUAAUGACUCAUUCGGCGCCUUAA
rnacentral:rRNA from 1 species